rnacentral:rRNA from 1 species
AGUGAACGCUGGCGGUAGGCCUAACACAUGCAAGUCGAACGGCAGCACAGUAAGAGCUUGCUCUUACGGGUGGCGAGUGGCGGACGGGUGAGGAAUACAUCGGAAUCUACUUUUUCGUGGGGGAUAACGUAGGGAAACUUACGCUAAUACCGCAUACGACCUACGGGUGAAAGCAGGGGAUCUUCGGACCUUGCGCGAUUGAAUGAGCCGAUGUCGGAUUAGCUAGUUGGCGGGGUAAAGGCCCACCAAGGCGACGAUCCGUAGCUGGUCUGAGAGGAUGAUCAGCCACACUGGAACUGAGACACGGGCCAGACUCCUACGGGAGGCAGCAGUGGGGAAUAUGGGACAAUGGGCGCAAGCCUGAUCCAGCCAUACCGCGUGGGUGAAGAAGGCCUUCGGGUUGUAAAGCCCUUUUGUUGGGAAAGAAAAGCAGCAGGUUAAUACCCCGCUGUUCUGACGGUACCCAAAGAAUAAGCACCGGCUAACUUCGU